UACGGAGGGUGCAAGCGUUGUCCGGAAUCACUGGGCGUAAAGGGCGCGUAGGCGGCUCAUGAAGGCUGUGGUGAAAGUCCGGGGCUCAACCUCGGAUCGGCCGUGGCGACUCGUGGGCUGGAGCACUGUAGAGGCGGGUGGAAUUCCGGGUGUAGCGGUGAAAUGCGCAGAUAUCGGGAGGAACACCGGUGGCGAAGGCGGUUCUCUGGGGCCGUUUACUGACGCUGAGGAGCGAAAGCGUGGGGAGCGAACAGG
rnacentral:rRNA from 1 species